CAUAAUCCAGGAAUGUAGUAGAUUACCGAGGGGAGAAAGGGGAAGGGAAAGUUUCCCCUCCCUACUAUGAAAGAUGAUAAAUCCUUCUUACACAGGGGAUGAUCUUUUUUGAAAAAAAAGCACCCCAAAGAGAUUGUAGAUCCAUUCAUUAGUAUUUUCUUUGUCUCAUAUGCUUUUUUCAAAUCAAUCAUUGUUAGUGGCAAAGGUCGGUGACAUAAGCCAUUAAGUACAGUUACUUUUGGGUUUUGAACCAGGCGCAAUGUGUUAAAUCAUGUCAUUAUCAUUGGCACAAAUUAGUUAGUACUCCCUCCAUUCCAUGAAAAGUGCAAUCCUGGCAUUUGAAAAAAAAAUCCUACAAAAGAAUGUGGAAUUGGAUGCAUCUAUGUGCUUAAUUAAG
rnacentral:lncRNA from 1 species